GAUGAACGCUGGCGGCGUGCCUAAUACAUGCAAGUCGAGCGAACGGACGAGAAGCUUGCUUCUCUGAUGUUAGCGGCGGACGGGUGAGUAACACGUGGAUAACCUACCUAUAAGACUGGGAUAACUUCGGGAAACCGGAGCUAAUACCGGAUAAUAUUUUGAACCGCAUGGUUCAAAAGUGAAAGACGGUCUUGCUGUCACUUAUAGAUGGAUCCGCGCUGCAUUAGCUAGUUGGUAAGGUAACGGCUUACCAAGGCAACGAUGCAUAGCCGACCUGAGAGGGUGAUCGGCCACACUGGAACUGAGACACGGUCCAGACUCCUACGGGAGGCAGCAGUAGGGAAUCUUCCGCAAUGGGCGAAAGCCUGACGGAGCAACGCCGCGUGAGUGAUGAAGGUCUUCGGAUCGUAAAACUCUGUUAUUAGGGAAGAACAUAUGUGUAAGUAACUGUGCACAUCUUGACGGUACCUAAUCAGAAAGCCACGGCUAACUACGUGCCAGCAGCCGCGGUAAUACGUAGGUGGCAAGCGUUAUCCGGAAUUAUUGGGCGUAAAGCGCGCGUANGCGGUUUUUUAAGUCUGAUGUGAAAGCCCACGGCUCAACCGUGGAGGGUCAUUGGAAACUGGAAAACUUGAGUGCAGAAGAGGAAAGUGGAAUUCCAUGUGUAGCGGUGAAAUGCGCAGAGAUAUGGAGGAACACCAGUGGCGAAGGCGACUUUCUGGUCUGUAACUGACGCUGAUGUGCGAAAGCGUGGGGAUCAAACAGGAUUAGAUACCCUGGUAGUCCACGCCGUAAACGAUGAGUGCUAAGUGUUAGGGGGUUUCCGCCCCUUAGUGCUGCAGCUAACGCAUUAAGCACUCCGCCUGGGGAGUACGACCGCAAGGUUGAAACUCAAAGGAAUUGACGGGGACCCGCACAAGCGGUGGAGCAUGUGGUUUAAUUCGAAGCAACGCGAAGAACCUUACCAAAUCUUGACAUCCUUUGACAACUCUAGAGAUAGAGCCUUCCCCUUCGGGGGACAAAGUGACAGGUGGUGCAUGGUUGUCGUCAGCUCGUGUCGUGAGAUGUUGGGUUAAGUCCCGCAACGAGCGCAACCCUUAAGCUUAGUUGCCAUCAUUAAGUUGGGCACUCUAAGUUGACUGCCGGUGACAAACCGGAGGAAGGUGGGGAUGACGUCAAAUCAUCAUGCCCCUUAUGAUUUGGGCUACACACGUGCUACAAUGGACAAUACAAAGGGCAGCGAAACCGCGAGGUCAAGCAAAUCCCAUAAAGUUGUUCUCAGUUCGGAUUGUAGUCUGCAACUCGACUACAUGAAGCUGGAAUCGCUAGUAAUCGUAGAUCAGCAUGCUACGGUGAAUACGUUCCCGGGUCU
rnacentral:rRNA from 1 species